rnacentral:rRNA from 1 species
AUUGAACGCUGGCGGCAGGCCUAACACAUGCAAGUCGAACGAGUGGCGGACGGGUGAGUAAUGUCUGGGAAACUGCCUGAUGGAGGGGGAUAACUACUGGAAACGGUAGCUAAUACCGCAUACCAUCAGAUGUGCCCAGGUGGGAUUAGCGUGUUGGUUAGGUAACGGCGCACCAAGGCCACGAUGCCUAGUCGACCUGAGAGGGUGCGCGGCCACACUGGAACUGAGACACGGUCCAGACUCCAACGGGAGGCAGCAGUGGGGAAUAUGUCACAAUGGGCGCAAGCCUGAUGCAGCAAUGCCGCGUGUAUGAAGAAGGCCUUCGGGUUGUAAAGUACUUUCAGCGGGGAGGCGUUACCCGCAGAAGAAGCACCGGCUAACUCCGUGCCAGCAGCCGCGGUAAUUG